rnacentral:rRNA from 1 species
CCUACGGGUGGCAGCAGUGGGGAAUAUUGGGCAAUGGGCGCAAGCCUGACCCAGCAACGCCGCGUGAAGGAAGAAGGCUUUCGGGUUGGAAACUUCUUGUAUCAGGGACGAAGCAAGUGACGGUAGCUGAUGAAUAAGCAACGGCUAACAACGUGCCCGCAGCCGCGGUAAUACGUAGGUGGCAAGCGUUAUCCGGAGUUACUGGGCGUAAAGGGGGGGGAGGCGGGAGUGCAAGUCAGAUGGGAAAACUAUGGGCUCAACCCAUAGCCUGCAUUUGAAACUGUACUUCUUGAGUGCUGGAGAGGCAAUCGGAAUUCCGUGUGUAGCGGUGAAAUGCGUAGAUAUACGGAGGAACACCAGUGGCGAAGGCGGCUUGCUGGACAGUAACUGACGCUGAGGCGCGAAAGCGUGGGGAGCAAACAGGAUUAGAUACCCCAGUAGUC